GUGAAAACAAGGACCUUGAGGUUUUGCUAGAAGAGAGCUGACACCUACAGGGAAAAUUGCUAAGAUUGAUAACUGAGAAAAGCGUAUGAUAAAUAGGAGAUAAACAGAGCAGUUGUUCAUCUGACAUGCCUUGUAGACCUUGCACAGAGAGCCUCAUGCAAAGAUUGCGCUCUGCAUGUUUAAUAGCCAUGUCCAUUGCACCAUUGAAGUCAACAAGAGCUAAGAUCAGAGGGAACAUGGAGAGUCCAUCACUGUGGAAUCCUGGCACUUUCCUGAUCUCCACAGCAGGCACAUCUCACCAGCAAGAGCUCUCGCCACCUCCUUGCCUCCGUCCGAAGCACAAUGAUCCGCAGAAGAGAGGUUGGGUGAACCCGAGUGGUCGUGCCUUACCUGCAGAGAUACUCAAUGUCUUCAGCAGCCUGAUCUGGGUCACCUUGCUAUGAAACACUGUCUUAAAUCAUGGACUGUACAGCUUCCUGAGAAGCAGCUACCAUCAUGGGAAUAGACCAAACAGGUUAAUCUCAUCUUUUUUUAAGGAACUUCAUGGUUUUGAACUUAGUGGGGGUGGGAAAAUAUCAGCUGUUAGGGAUAGAUGGAUUAUCUCAUCAUUGAAUUUCUUCCUCUCAGGGAGGAAGGGUAGAGGUUACAAAUGCUGCAGUCUGCUUUGCUCUGUAAAAGGGAUCUUGUAUGUACAGUAUUUUUAUAUCUUUGCAUUCCCACCUGUCUGUUUUUAAAUCCACUUUCAUAACAUACAUAGGAAAAAAAGGAUUUUGUUUUGCAAUGCUAGACCUUU
rnacentral:lncRNA from 1 species